rnacentral:rRNA from 1 species
AUUGAACGCUGGCGGCAUGCCUUACACAUGCAAGUCGAACGGCAGCACGGGAGCAAUCCUGGUGGCGAGUGGCGAACGGGUGAGUAAUGUAUCGGAACGUGCCCAGUCGUGGGGGAUAACGUAGCGAAAGCUACGCUAAUACCGCAUACGAUCUAUGGAUGAAAGCGGGGGACCGUAAGGCCCCGCGCGAUUGGAGCGGCCGAUAUCAGAUUAGGUAGUUGGUGGGGUAAAGGCCUACCAAGCCGACGAUCUGUAGCUGGUCUGAGAGGACGACCAGCCACACUGGGACUGAGACACGGCCCAGACUCCUACGGGAGGCAGCAGUGGGGAAUUUUGGACAAUGGGCGCAAGCCUGAUCCAGCAAUGCCGCGUGCAGGAUUAAGGCCUUCGGGUUGUAAACUGCUUUUGUACGGAGCGAAAAGGCUCUCUCUAAUACGGGGGGCUCAUGACGGUACCGUAAGAAUAAGCACCGGCUAACUACGUGCCAGCCGCCGCCGUAAAAC